UACGUAGGGCGCAAGCGUUAUCCGGAAUUAUUGGGCGUAAAGAGCUCGUAGGCGGUUUGUCGCGUCUGCCGUGAAAGUCCGGGGCUCAACUCCGGAUCUGCGGUGGGUACGGGCAGACUAGAGUGCAGUAGGGGAGACUGGAAUUCCUGGUGUAGCGGUGAAAUGCGCAGAUAUCAGGAGGAGCACCGAUGGCGAAGGCAGGUCUCUGGGCUGUAACUGACGCUGAGGAGCGAAAGCAUGGGGAGCGAACAGG
rnacentral:rRNA from 1 species